GGAGAGGUGUCCGAGAGGCUGAAGGAACACGACUGGAAAUCGUGUAAACGGGUAACCGUUUCGGGAGUUCGAAUCUCCCCCUCUCCG
rnacentral:tRNA from 1 species